GGAAGGAUCAUUAACGAGCUAUUAAAAAAAGUGCUUUUACUGAUAUAGGUGCUCGCGCCCUAUUGACGUUCUAGUACGGGGUUUCGUCCCUAGUUUACCAUUUCAUUAUGAGACGUCGAAAAGCGGUAAGGCGCCUCUCUAAUAAGCGCAAAGACCGUCUCAUCUCGGUAAACGUCGUAUACCCAAGGGACGAGGCUAACAGUGGCGAAGCCUAGAUUCGGAAUGGAUCUCGUCGUGUAUACCAGUAAAGGUGCGCGCGAGGUACUGUAUACAGUCUUAGGUAAAGCGAAUCUCGUUAGAACGAGCCACGGUGAGCUCUAUGAGGCUUAAGUUCGUUUAUGUUUUAUAUUUACAUUAAUAAAGGCUCGUCGGGUAGUGGAGUUUGGAUACCUACCCGCGGUCUAGUAAAAGAAUGUAUAUAAAUCGUAUAUGAACGCCUCGUAGGCGCCCUAGUGCCUAGUAUUUCGAUUCGCGAUUCGUCGCUUUCUUAUCGAAAAAAACAGACGCUCGGGAUUAGAUUCGAGUCUAAUUCUUAUUCGGGUAUCUAUCGAGUACUAGCGAUACAGCUGACGUCUGGCUGUAGCGAAAAAAUCGUUAGUCUCGUGGAUCUUUCCUAAUACUCUAGUCCCCUAGUAUAUAUAUAAAGGGACUAUUAGGAGAGACAGAUUCAAAGAGUCAUCGGCGAGAUGAUCGAGUUAGUAUGAAUACUCGAUCUUCGAGCUACUAGCCAGUCUUAACAACUGGUUAGUUCUGAGCGAAGUAAUAGCGCUCAGGGUGACCGCCCGAAAUCAUUCAAAAUAAAGUUUAUUACUAGAAAUUAUAUACUUUACGAAUUAGUAAAGUUAUUCAAUAAAGAAUCCUAGAAAGAUUCCAUUCUAAGCGGUGGAUCACUAGGCUCGUGGGUCGAUGAAGAACGGGGCCAGCCCCGAGAAUCAGUGCGAAUUGCAGACACAAAGAACAUCGACGUUUCGAACGCAUAUUGCGGUAUCGGGCCAGCUCGAUACCACGCCUAUCUGAGGGUCGAAUAAAGAAUAUAAUAUUCUAGUCGUCUAAGGAAUAUAUAUAUAGACGAACUAAAAAUAUUAGACUUUAGACUAAUCUAUUACAGGAUGGUCGUUAAGUCUCAAGAUACUCGGAGUAAAUUAAUGCGAGUUAUCAAGUUUCUAGUAUAUAUAGAGAACGAGAGAACGGAGCGUAUUCGAAAAUAAUCAAAGUUAACUGGUAGUAAUAUCAGUCGGAAUUUACUUUGAAUUUUCGUUGUAAACGUAUAUACGCCUCGCAGUUCGAGUUCCAAUAUAUAUAUAUAUACAAGUAUUUCGCAUUUUGACCUCAGAUUAGACGUGAAAACCCGCUGAAUUUAAGCAUAUAAUUAGGCGGAGGAAAAGAAAUUAACGAAGAUUUCCUUAGUAACGGCGAGUGAAAAGGAAAUAGUUCAGCGCCGAAUCCCUUAGCCUAUGGUUAAGGGACCUGUGGCGUGAAGGAGAGCCUAUCUGUUGGGUUACGACUUCGGAAGAUCCCUCGAAUGGGGCUCCAAAGCAGGUGCGAGGCCUGUAACGAGGUGAUACCCAUCAGUUUGCGCCUCCGUAGAGUCGGGUUACUUGAGAGUGUAGCCCAAAGCGGAAGGUAAACCCCUUCUAAAACUAAAUAUUACCACGAGACCGAUAGCGAACAAGUACCGCGAGGGAAAGUUGAAAAGAACUUUGAAGAGAGAGUUCAAAAGGGCGUGAAACCGCUUAGAAGAAAACGGACGGAGCCGUCGGGAGCCUUCGGGAAUCAGUCUCGCGAUAGGCGAACGUGCGGCGAUUCGGAACGCAAGUCCGAUCGUUGUGCGGCUAGUAGCUUUCGCUUGGCGCAUUUCUCGAAGGUAAGCACCGCGACCGAUACGAAAGGCCGACGAAGCGUUCGGAUUGAGGGCGAGUCCUCUCACGGGGGCUCGUAACCAGUCCUUACGUCGUUUAGUCGUCGGACCGCAGUAUGUAUCGAUAGCCAAAGUUAUAUUAUAUACGCCGGCCGUAAAGCUCGCUCGAGUAACGGAUAGUUGGUCAAUAGUGUUGGUACUUGCUCGCAGGUGCUAAUCUAUUCGAUUCGGCUUUGAAGUUAUCGGCGACGUUUCGGCGUAUAGGCGUCGGCGGUGUCAGUGUCGGCCACCCAUCCGACCCGUCUUGAAACACGGACCAAGGAGUCUAACAUAUGCGCGAGCUAAUGGGUGGAAAACCCAAAAGCGUAAUAAAAGUAAACGCCGUUUCGGACGGCUAAGGUACGAUCCUAGUGUCCUUUGCGACAUUAGGCGCAGUACUGUCCCGUCCCGACCGCAUGUCGGUAGGGCGGAGAUAGAGUGCAUACGUUGGGACCCGAAAGAUGGUGAACUAUGCCUGAGCAGAGCGAAGCCAGAGGAAACUCUGGUGGAGGUUCGUAGCGGUUCUGACGUGCAAAUCGAUCGUCAGACUUGGGUAUAGGGGCGAAAGACUAAUCGAACCAUCUAGUAGCUGGUUCCCCC
rnacentral:misc_RNA from 1 species